UCUCAACCUAUACGACGCACAAGUGCCUGGGCUGCUGUCCGCAUACAAGCGUAUCCAUCUAAGUUGACAAAGUUCUCUAGACGCUAAUGUGAUCAACGUGCAGCUGAAAGCACUGCUUCGUCCGUGUUCAAAAAGAAUAAACUUGAGAUCUAAAAUCGACGGCUGCCUUUUUUAUGCAUCAACAAAGUACUUUGCACGCAAUGCAUUGCUUGUCGUAUGAAAAAGCAAGUUCACGAGACUGUUGGAUACAUGUCUUUCAAAAACCGGUGAUGAAAAGGCCAAAGAAUCACCUCAUUUGACGAAUAAGAAUCGGAUAAACAAACCCAAAGAAUACACCAAAGUUCACGAGAAGUUGCAUAGACGACGUCUAUAUGAUUUAUGUGCGCUCAGAAGCAGAGAGCUGCAAGGCAAAAUACUAAUUCAUCAUGUUAUGACAGAUCACCACGCAAGGAAAACGACAUGUUGAUGGGGGACGUUAUAUAGAAAAAAAAAACUAAAAAAAACCAACAAGAACAACAAAAAACAUGUAUAUAUGCCCACCAUUCUAUACACAUCUGUCUAUUCACGAAAAGAAAUAGAAAGAUAUUGGACCAUUUGACAAAUGGAGUUGUGUUAUAAGUCCCCUUGCAGAACACGAGCGAAUGUCUAGCGAAAACUGAGCAGGUUUACGUAUAUUGUAAAGCAGGUAUUGAUCUUUCUUCACCUUACGAGCGAACAAGGGGGAUACUAUACGCAGCACGAACCCCAUCGCAUAACAAAUGGGAAAGUGGCUCUACAACUGCGUGCUGUUCUUUUUUUCCCGCACGGGAAUCGUGUCGUAGAUUGCCGCUAUAUGGAGUGCACUACGUCCUUUCUAUAGAUUAUACAUUUACGUGUAAACCACGAGAAUGAAGAGAUAUGGCGAAGGAGGCUGUUUGAUUCUUGUUUAAAAGGAAGCAUGUUUACUUGGAUAACGACACGGCAUUCCUACCUACUGUAAUGCCUGUAAUGCCACUGUUUUCUGAUGUCACAAAACGUUUACAUGCUUUCUCCUUCCGCAUUACUGUAGCUAUUUCUCCUUUACGUUCAAUCUUAUGCUUACAUUCCUGUUGGAAGUAGUCUAAAGGUGAACUACAAAUAGAAUUCUGAACUUUU